AUGAAGAUGUUUUCCCCUCUAUCUGCCGUUAUCUGGGCGCCUGGAAGAGCUGCGGAGGAGCUCUCAUCCUGCUCCAGGCAGAGCUGAUGGGAUUUGCACCGGUCCCAGUUGCCAUGGAGAAAGUGUUAGAUGGCUUUAAUACAUCUCUGCGAAUUUCUCCCCGGAGUUUUCCUGUGACAAGCUGGACUGGAGGCGUUUUGGUGAAAUCCCCUGCAAAUCCAGCCGUUCCUCUGGAGGCUGCCCGGGCGCCGGGUUGGGAGGAGGAUUCCGUGGAGUGCUGCGGAGAGGCUGCACGGCAAAACGUGUGCUCCAGCUGAUGUGCCGGGGUUAAAAUCUGCUGCUUGAGGCAGAGCAGUUUCUCAACCUCAUGAUGCUGAGGUGUUUCCCUGGGGAGUGAUGCCCGACGGGCAAAGGGCAUCCCCUCCCUGCUGGCUGCUGGAAAUGGGCUGAGCAGUGGGAGUCGAGGGAAUGGGCUUCACCAUCACCUUUUGGGAGGUCUGUGAUGCUGGCAGCAGAGGGGUUUGAGCAUCGCGCCGCUCCCCCUUCCCCAGCCCCACCAAAACCAGCGCAUGGAGG